CCUGGUGGCUCAGACGGUAAAGCGUCUGCCUGCAAUGCAGGAGACCCAGGUUCGAUUCCUGGGUCAGGA
rnacentral:tRNA from 1 species